AGACUGCAUCUUUUUUUUUCCUACAGCUUGUUGGCUACAAAGAGGAAGAAGUGACAGAUUUGAAAUAAAGAUGAAGUCUGAAUUGGGAAAAGGAGGAAAUUGAUCUUGGAUUUCUCACAAUGCAAAUAAGUACCCUAACCACAGUGCUGUUAGCUACUCAGCUAUUGUGACUGAGGUCACUGAAGCAGUCAAGCAGCAACUGCACAUCACAAUUGAGGCUAACAAACAAAACAA